GCCACUGUGGUGUAGUGGUUUGAGUGUUGAACUACGACUCUAGAGACUAGGGUUCGAACCCCUGCUGAGCCA